rnacentral:tRNA from 1 species
CUACAGAUAAGCUAAUAAAAGCUAGUGGGCUCAUAACCCAAAUAUGGUUUCAUCCUCUGUAGA